rnacentral:rRNA from 1 species
UACGUAGGGCGCAAGCGUUGUCCGGAAUUAUUGGGCGUAAAGAGCUCGUAGGCGGUCUGUUACGUCCGCUGUGAAAACCCAGGGCUUAACCCUGGGCUUGCAGUGGAUACGGGUAGACUAGAGGCAGGUAGGGGAGAAUGGAAUUCCCGGUGUAGCGGUGAAAUGCGCAGAUAUCGGGAGGAACACCUAUGGCGAAGGCAGCUCUCUGGGACGGUACUGACGCUGAGACGCGAAAGCGUGGGGAGCGAACAGG